GUGAAGAACGUAGCGAAAUGCGAUAAGUAGUGUGAAUUGCAGAAUUCAGUGAAUCAUCGAAUCUUUGAACGCACAUUGCGGCCAUAGGUAUUCCUUUGGCCAUGCCUGUUCGAGCGUCAUUUACACCCUCAAGCCUAGCUUGGUGUUGGGCGUCUGUCCCGCCGUUCUCGCGCGCGGACUCGCCUCAAAGUCAUUGGCGGCGGUCGUGCCGGCCCCCUCGCGCAGCACAUUUGCGCUUCUCGGAGGCCCGGCGGAUCCGCGCUCCAGCAAGACCUUUCACGACUUGACCUCGGAUCAGGUAGGGAUACCCGCUGAACUUAAGCAUAUCAAUAAGCGGAGGA
rnacentral:misc_RNA from 1 species